GUUGUAACUUAAUGUUGCAACAAACGAGAACCGAGUAUAGUUCAUGGUGCUUCAUGAAUUAUUUAACUGACCUCUAGGAUUACCAGUCCUAUGUCAGUCGGUUC
rnacentral:antisense_RNA from 1 species